rnacentral:misc_RNA from 1 species
CAGAGUUGAAGACUCCCUAAACCAUCGGUGAACGUUACCUCUAACCGUUGCCUUCGGCGGGCGGGCUCCUUCAGCCCCCCCCUUGGUCCCCCUUCGCGGGGGCGCCCGCCGGAGGAUACCCAAACUCUUGACCUUAGUGGCCUCUCUGAGUAUUCUUUACUGAAUUAAGUCA